ensembl:lncRNA
AGUGUUGUGAUGGCAAAUAUUGAGCUGGAAAGAACCAAAAAUCUAAGUACAAAGGAAGACUGGUCCAGACUAGUAGCACUAUCUCCUCUAUUCCAGCUGAUGAAGGAAGUGGAGCAACAGCUCAGGGAUAGUGCCAGAGAUAGAGGCCUUCUCAAGAUCCAGCCUUCAGGUGCAGGCCAGUCAUUCAUGGAUUUCAUGGAUGCCCAGUGGGAGUGUGAGGGAGAGCUGAUUCAAGUGAGCUCUGAAACCCUCAACCCACGACAGCUUCUGCUCUACCAGCAUGGACAGUUUCUCCUCCAGCACCUUCACUUACAUAAAAUGAUACCAGCAGUAACCCUUCAACUGGCUUCUACUCUUCCUUUCAACGACUACCAUAACAAUGCUUUCCGCAACUCUUUCUAUUAUCAGGAGGGACAGAAGACUCUGUUUGUUCGCAGUCAGAGAUUGCAAUCGGUGGGUGGCCUCUCUCUGCUGCUAAUGCACUGUGCUGCACACAUUUCCAUCGGCCAGAUGAGGACUGACACCAUUCCUGCCUUUCAAAGAGCCUUCUUCAAGGUUUUACAGGUGGGCUUAAGUGAGCUGUUCCAUGCCAGGCUGGGACAAACUGAUAGUCCAGAUGAUGAGAGGACGAAAGAUUUGGCGUCUGACGCAGCUCUCAAUGGUCUUCUGCUGGAAAGAGUCCAGAAGCCAAGUCCUGGGAUUUUUUCAGAGCAUGAGGUUUUGGGACGUCUGCGCAAAUACAGAGAGGCUUCAGUGUUCCGCCAGGUCGAGAGUCUCCUAAAAGAGUCUCCAAAGAGCCUGGAGAUCAACCACCUCAACACUGACCCGUCACUCAACGACGACCCAGAAAGCCAAGCCGCUGCUCCUCCAUGAACUGACAUUUUAACUUUGAACAGUGCUGCCUCUCUGACAGUGAUGAAUCCAGCUUUCAAAGGCAUGUUAUGUGCUGUGAGGCAGCUGAUGGCCUUAUGGUCUUGGACGGUAGAGCAUCUAUUUUUGCUUCUGGUGGUGACCCAGCACAGCUACUUUCUUGUACAGAAGUUGAAAAAAUGGCACUAAGAAAAAAACAUUAAAAUGGGCAAUAUUUCCAUGCACUGCAUAGGCUCAGCAAACAAACCUCUGUUGAAUCCAGUUUUAAUGUAGUUUUCGAAAAUAAAGGCAUGUUACAGAAUUUGACCGUUUGAUUGGACGGGUGCAGUUUCUUAAGAAAAGAAACUAAACAAUACAGGGGGUAGUGAAAAUAUAAUGAAUGAAAUGAAUAUAAUUGAAUGAAAAUAUAAUCUUGAAAUUUUAAUAAAUAAAUUUAGACAAUGUACAAAUACGGUGUCAUACAAAAUGAAAAGUCACAUAAAAUGAACAGUAGAAAUAAAGAGAAUUAAAAAUGAACAGAAUUAACUAAAUUAAAUUGAUCAAUUAACUUAUUGAAUAUAAAUGUAUGAUUAUAAAUUUGCUCAAAUAGUAAAAUAAAAAAAUCCAAUAUAGUGUUUCCACACCUUUCCAAAAGAAGAGAGAAAGAUGUCAAAUUGACUGUAUUUACUGUAUCUUUACAUUUUUUAAACAUGAGCAUAUAUACA